rnacentral:lncRNA from 1 species
UACUUUGCAAGAAUUUUUUUAUUCAGAGUAGAGCGGGUAGCUAAUAUUAACUACCAAGGCACAUUUGUGCGAUCUGUGAUAAAUGGGGACAGGUGGUUUUUCAGGGCAGUCCUCCUGCAUUUCCAAGAUAAGCCUACUAGUUUUAAUGCAGUUAAUGGCUGCUGCAAAGUUUUAUGGGUAUUGUUUUUUCUUAAACCUCUACAAGAUCAACAUUUGGAGGUCCAAGUUCUCAACCAAAUGCCCUUUUGAUAAGGGAAGGUACAAGCACAGAAGAAUAGAAGUACUUCACCUUCUCACGUAGAUAAUGUUGAAGGAGUAAUGGCAUGCAAUAAAAUAUGAAAGCACAUACGGUCAGAAUACAACAGUUCCAGCUGGGCCAACUAGAAACAUGGAUUUGGGAGAUGCUUGACAGUUUCCUCAGUAUGUCUUGAGAUAGAGUGCUGCUGAAUGAGUAACAGUGAACUUCUGGAAGCUUUGGUUUAUAUUAGCACCCAAACUGAUGUAGUUUCAUUACUCCUCAAAACACUAAGGUAGAUUGGUUAUUACUCCUGUUCAAUCUAGCUCUAACUGAAGCAUGAAAAGAUAAAAGCCUGUGUGACCUCAUUCCUUAGGUACAGUCAUUACCUCAGUACACCUCACAUGGUUUAGCUUUGCAGACUAGAAGAACUUGUUUCUUCUUUCUUUUCCCCCUUUCCUUUUUCUUUACUAGCAUUCUGGUUUCCUUGACUGCUUCUUUCAUCCUGCCACUUACCAGCAGUCACUUAAACAGGAGCCAUGAGUAUUUAGAAGAGAGAAUUGGCUGUUUUAUGGACUGAUGUAUCCAGGCAUGGAAACAGGCACUGCAGUUGCUCAGAAGCUGAGGUGCAGCUGCGGGCUUGGAAGUGAUGCUCUUCCAGGCUCACCUCUCCUCCUACAUGUGCUGCGGCCACUUUCUCAACAGCAGCCAUCUGGGCCAACAGGAGCACUGGCCACUUCUGAGGGACACCAACUGGAUUCCAGUCUGAAGCCUGUCGCUGAUACUGGGGCUCCUAAUUCUGAUAUACUUUGUGGUAUUUAUCACCGUAAAACACUCAGCAAUUUCCUACUCCUCGCUGUAAAACUCCCUACAUCAAUUACAUGUCAGUAA